rnacentral:rRNA from 1 species
UACGUAGGUGGCAAGCGUUGUCCGGAUUUCUUGGGCGUAAAGCGUAUGCAGGCGGACCUUUAAGUAGGAAGUGAAAGGGUAGAGCUCAACUCUGCCACUGCUCCCUAUACUGGAGGUCUUGAGUACCGGAGAGGACAAGGGAACAGGUCGUGUAGCGGUGAAAUGCGUUGAUAUCCUCAGGAACACCGGUGGCGAAGGCGACUCACUGGGUCUUUACUGACGCUGAUGCACGAAAGCUAGGGUAGCAAACGGG